rnacentral:rRNA from 1 species
UACGUAGGGGGCAAGCGUUGUCCGGAUUUAUUGGGCGUAAAGAGCGUGUAGGCGGCCAGGUAGGUCUGCUGUGAAAACUCGAGGCUUAACCUCGAGCUGUCGGCGGAAACCAUCUGGCUAGAGUCCGGAAGAGGAGAAUGGAAUUCCCGGUGUAGCGGUGAAAUGCGCAGAUAUCGGGAAGAACACCCGUGGCGAAGGCGGUUCUCUGGGAUGGUACUGACGCUGAGACGCGAAAGCGUGGGGAGCGAACAGG